rnacentral:rRNA from 1 species
GAUUAAGUUAUUAAGGGCGCACGGUGGAUGCCUUGGCACUAGAAGCCGAUGAAGGACGUUACUAACGACGAUAUGCUUUGGGGAGCUGUAAGUAAGCUUUGAUCCAGAGAUUUCCGAAUGGGGAAACCCAGCAUGAGUUAUGUCAUGUUAUCGAUAUGUGAAUACAUAGCAUAUCAGAAGGCACACCCGGAGAACUGAAACAUCUUAGUACCCGGAGGAAGAGAAAGAAAAUUCGAUUCCCUUAGUAGCGGCGAGCGAAACGGGAAGAGCCCAAACCAACAAGCUUGCUUGUUGGGGUUGUAGGACACUCUAUACGGAGUUACAAAGGACGACAUUAGACGAAUCAUCUGGAAAGAUGAAUCAAAGAAGGUAACAAUCCUGUAGUCGAAAAUGUUGUCUCUCUUGAGUGGAUCCUGAGUACGACGGAGCACGUGAAAUUCCGUCGGAAUCUGGGAGGACCAUCUCCUAAGGCUAAAUACUCUCUAGUGACCGAUAGUGAACCAGUACCGUGAGGGAAAGGUGAAAAGCACCCCGGAAGGGGAGUGAAAUAGAACCUGAAACCGUGUGCUUACAAGUAGUCAGAGCCCGUUAAUGGGUGAUGGCGUGCCUUUUGUAGAAUGAACCGGCGAGUUACGAUUUGAUGCAAGGUUAAGCAGUAAAUGUGGAGCCGUAGCGAAAGCGAGUCUGAAUAGGGCGUUUAGUAUUUGGUCGUAGACCCGAAACCAGGUGAUCUACCCUUGGUCAGGUUGAAGUUCAGGUAACACUGAAUGGAGGACCGAACCGACUUACGUUGAAAAGUGAGCGGAUGAACUGAGGGUAGCGGAGAAAUUCCAAUCGAACCUGGAGAUAGCUGGUUCUCUCCGAAAUAGCUUUAGGGCUAGCCUCAAGUGAUGAUUAUUGGAGGUAGAGCACUGUUUGGACGAGGGCCCCUCUCGGGUUACCGAAUUCAGACAAACUCCGAAUGCCAAUUAAUUUAACUUGGGAGUCAGAACAUGGGUGAUAAGGUCCGUGUUCGAAAGGGAAACAGCCCAGACCACCAGCUAAGGUCCCAAAAUAUAUGUUAAGUGGAAAAGGAUGUGGCGUUGCCCAGACAACUAGGAUGUUGGCUUAGAAGCAGCCAUCAUUUAAAGAGUGCGUAAUAGCUCACUAGUCGAGUGACACUGCGCCGAAAAUGUACCGGGGCUAAACAUAUUACCGAAGCUGUGGAUUGUCCUUUGGACAAUGGUAGGAGAGCGUUCUAAGGGCGUUGAAGCAUGAUCGUAAGGACAUGUGGAGCGCUUAGAAGUGAGAAUGCCGGUGUGAGUAGCGAAAGACGGGUGAGAAUCCCGUCCACCGAUUGACUAAGGUUUCCAGAGGAAGGCUCGUCCGCUCUGGGUUAGUCGGGUCCUAAGCUGAGGCCGACAGGCGUAGGCGAUGGAUAACAGGUUGAUAUUCCUGUACCACCUAUAAUCGUUUUAAUCGAUGGGGGGACGCAGUAGGAUAGGCGAAGCGUGCGAUUGGAUUGCACGUCUAAGCAGUAAGGCUGAGUAUUAGGCAAAUCCGGUACUCGUUAAGGCUGAGCUGUGAUGGGGAGAAGACAUUGUGUCUUCGAGUCGUUGAUUUCACACUGUCGAGAAAAGCCUCUAGAUAGAAAAUAGGUGCCCGUACCGCAAACCGACACAGGUAGUCAAGAUGAGAAUUCUAAGGUGAGCGAGCGAACUCUCGUUAAGGAACUCGGCAAAAUGACCCCGUAACUUCGGGAGAAGGGGUGCUCUUUAGGGUUAACGCCCAGAAGAGCCGCAGUGAAUAGGCCCAAGCGACUGUUUAUCAAAAACACAGGUCUCUGCUAAACCGUAAGGUGAUGUAUAGGGGCUGACGCCUGCCCGGUGCUGGAAGGUUAAGAGGAGUGGUUAGCUUCUGCGAAGCUACGAAUCGAAGCCCCAGUAAACGGCGGCCGUAACUAUAACGGUCCUAAGGUAGCGAAAUUCCUUGUCGGGUAAGUUCCGACCCGCACGAAAGGCGUAACGAUUUGGGCACUGUCUCAACGAGAGACUCGGUGAAAUCAUAGUACCUGUGAAGAUGCAGGUUACCCGCGACAGGACGGAAAGACCCCGUGGAGCUUUACUGUAGCCUGAUAUUGAAAUUCGGCACAGCUUGUACAGGAUAGGUAGGAGCCUUUGAAACGUGAGCGCUAGCUUACGUGGAGGCGCUGGUGGGAUACUACCCUAGCUGUGUUGGCUUUCUAACCCGCACCACUUAUCGUGGUGGGAGACAGUGUCAGGCGGGCAGUUUGACUGGGGCGGUCGCCUCCUAAAAGGUAACGGAGGCGCUCAAAGGUUCCCUCAGAAUGGUUGGAAAUCAUUCAUAGAGUGUAAAGGCAUAAGGGAGCUUGACUGCGAGACCUACAAGUCGAGCAGGGUCGAAAGACGGACUUAGUGAUCCGGUGGUUCCGCAUGGAAGGGCCAUCGCUCAACGGAUAAAAGCUACCCCGGGGAUAACAGGCUUAUCUCCCCAAGAGUUCACAUCGACGGGGAGGUUUGGCACCUCGAUGUCGGCUCAUCGCAUCCUGGGGCUGUAGUCGGUCCCAAGGGUUGGGCUGUUCGCCCAUUAAAGCGGUACGCGAGCUGGGUUCAGAACGUCGUGAGACAGUUCGGUCCCUAUCCGUCGUGGGCGUAGGAAAUUUGAGAGGAGCUGUCCUUAGUACGAGAGGACCGGGAUGGACAUACCUCUGGUGUACCAGUUGUCGUGCCAACGGCAUAGCUGGGUAGCUAUGUGUGGACGGGAUAAGUGCUGAAAGCAUCUAAGCAUGAAGCCCCCUCAAGAUGAGAUUUCCCAACUUCGGUUAUAAGAUCCCUCAAAGAUGAUGAGGUUAAUAGGUUCGAGGUGGAAGCAUGGUGACAUGUGGAGCUGACGAAUACUAAUCGAUCGAAGACUUAAUCAA